GGAAUAUUGGUCAAUGGAGGCAACUCUGAACCAGCCAUGCCGCGUGCAGGAUGACUGCCCUAUGGGUUGUAAACUGCUUUUGUCAGGGAAUAAACCUUUCUACGUGUAGAAAGCUGAAUGUACCUGAAGAAUAAGGAUCGGCUAACUCCGUGCCAGCAGCCGCGGUAAUACGGAGGAUCCAAGCGUUAUCCGGAUUUAUUGGGUUUAAAGGGUGCGUAGGCGGUCCUAUAAGUCAGUGGUGAAAGACGGCAGCUUAACUGUCGCAGUGCCUUUGAUACUGUAGGACUUGAAUCUAUUUGAAGUGGGCGGAAUAAGACAAGUAGCGGUGAAAUGCAUAGAUAUGUCUUAGAACUCCGAUUGCGAAGGCAGCUCACUAAGUUAGUAUUGACGCUGAUGCACGAAAGCGUGGGGAUCAAACAGGAUUAGAUACCCGAG
rnacentral:rRNA from 1 species